rnacentral:rRNA from 1 species
CGCGUAGGCGGUUCGCUAAGUUGGAUGUGAAAACUCUGGGCUCAACCCAGAGCCUGCAUCCAAAACUGGCGGGCUAGAGUUCUGGAGGGGGUAGCGGAAUUCCUGGUGUAGCGGUGAAAUGCGUAGAUAUCAGGAGGAACACCGGUGGCGAAGGCGGCCACCUGGACAGAAACUGACGCUGAGGCGCGAAAGCUAGGGGAGCAAACA